UACAGAGGGGGCAAGCGUUGUUCGGAAUUACUGGGCGUAAAGGGCGCGUAGGCGGCCUUCUAAGUCGAACGUGAAAUCCCCGGGCUCAACCCGGGAACUGCGUCCGAUACUGGAAGGCUUGAAUCCGGGAGAGGGAUGCGGAAUUCCAGGUGUAGCGGUGAAAUGCGUAGAUAUCUGGAGGAACACCGGUGGCGAAGGCGGGUCUCUGGGCAACAAUUGACGCUGAGGCACGAAAGCGUGGGGAGCAAACAGG
rnacentral:rRNA from 1 species